CGGAUUGCUCUCCGGGUCCUCGUUGGCUGCCGGAAGGAUCGCUGCAGUCAGGUAAGGGAGGAAGUCGGUAUUGCCUUCUUUUAAUACGAUCUCAACGGUUUUCUCAUCAAUGAUAUUCACGCUGUCAAUCGCCAAAAAAGCCGAUACCAACGGGUCACCGUUACUGGUAUCGGCACAUCUGUCAAUGGAAUAUUUUACAUCUUCCGCCGUAACAGUUGUGCCGUCAUGAAAUUUUACCCCAUCGCGAAGCGUGAAGGUAUACACUUUUCCAUCUUCCGAAAUGGUAUGGCUCUCUGCUACAGCAUCGUUUAAAUUUCCUUCGCUGUCAGGCUUUACAAGACCUUCGAAUACAUUGAACAAUACCUCUUUGGUUCCCGCCGCCACUGCUUUGUGGGGGUCAAGACUGUCCACAUCCUGAGGAAUUCCAAUGGUAAUCUGAGAAGAUUCCUUUCCCGCCUUAUCACCCGAGCACGCGCCCAGUGCAAUAGUCAGUGCUGCGCACACCAAAGUCAAAAGAACUUUUUUUCCUGCUUUUGUCUUCAUGUGUUUCUCCUUUUUGAUUUGAUCUUUAUUCAGUUGUACUUUUUGUAGAACGGGCCGGCGAGUUACUGUGUGCAGCGAGGUUAAGUUGUUAAGCAACGGAGCCGAAGGGAUACCGAGUCUGAAAAGGGCGUAAAGUUGCAUGCAGUACACCCGAAACCGGGUGACCUAUCCAUGGACAGGAUGAAGCGACGGUAAGACGUCGUGGAGGUCCGAACCACACGUACGUGAAAAGUGCGGGGAUGAGCUGUGGAUAGCGGAGAAAUUCCAAUCGAACUCGGAGAUAGCUGGUUCUCCCCGAAAUAGCUUUAGGGCUAGCCUCGAUUUAGAUUACCGGGGGUAGAGCACUGAAUGGGCUAGGGGGCCACAAAGCUUACCGAACCCUAUCAAACUUCGAAUACCGGAUAAUUGAUGAUCGGGAGUCAGACAGUGUGAGAUAAGUUUCAUUGUCGAAAGGGAAACAGCCCAGAUCUACGACUAAGGUCCCAAAGUUCAAGUUAAGUGGAAAAGGAUGUGCAAUUGCGUAGACAACCAGGAUGUUGGCUUAGUAGCAGCCAUUCAUUCAAAGAGUGCGUAAUAGCUCACUGGUCGAGUGAUUGUGCGCCGAAAAUGUAACGGGGCUAAACUUGACACCGAAGUCUAGGCAGAAGGAAACUUCUGGGUAGGGGAGCAACGUGUACGGGCAGAAGCAGAAGCGGAAGCGACUGUGGACUGUACAGGAGAGAGAAUGCCGGCAUGAGUAGCGAGAGCAAAGUGAGAAUCUUUGCCGUCGAAAGCCUAAGGUUUCCUGAGGAAGGCUCGUCCUCUCAGGGUAAGUCGGGACCUAAGCCGAGGACAAUAGUCGUAGGCGAUGGACAAUCGGUUAAUAUUCCGAUACCGCCGAGCAACCGGAUGCAGUGACACAGAAGGAUAGGCAGAGCGUGGCGAUGGUAGACCACGUCCAAGCAGUGAGGCUGUUGUGUAGUGAAGUACGCACAACGGAAGGCUGGGCUGUGAUGGGGAACGAUUACGAUCGGUAAGCUGCUGAAUUCACGCUGGCGAGAAAAGCUGCUACGAAGCGAAGGCGCCCGUACCGCAAACCGACACAGGUAGGCGAGGAGAGAAUCCUAAGACGAGCGGGAGAACCCUUGUUAAGGAACUCGGCAAAAUGACUCCGUAACUUAGGGAGAAGGAGUGCCCAGGAAUGGGCCGCAGAGAAUAGACCCAAGCGACUGUUUACCAAAAACACAGGUCUGUGCGAAGUAGAGAUACGACGUAUACGGGCUGACACCUGCCCAGUGCCGGAAGGUUAAGGGGAAAUGUUAGGGCAACCGAAGCAUGGAACUUAAGCCCCGGUGAACGGCGGCCGUAACUAUAACGGUCCUAAGGUAGCGAAAUUCCUUGUCGGGUAAGUUCCGACCCGCACGAAAGGUGUAACGAUUUGGGCACUGUCUCAACGAGGGGCCCGGUGAAAUUGAAAUACCUGUGAAGAUGCAGGUUACCCGCGACUGGACAGAAAGACCCCAUGGAGCUUCACUGCAGCUUGAGAUUGAAUCCCGGUGACAUAUGCACAGGAUAGGUGGGAGGCGACGAAGUAAUGCCUUUGGGUGUUACAGAGCCGAUGUUGGGAUACCACCCUUAUGUUGCUGAGAUUCUAACACGGAGACUAACAACCUCGUGGACCAUCUCAGGCAGGCGGUUUGACUGGGGCGGUCGCCUCCUAAAAUGUAACGGAGGCGCCCAAAGGUUCCCUCAGGCCGGACAGAAACCGGCCGAAGAGUGCAAAGGCAGAAGGGAGCUUGACUGCGAGACAGACAAGUCGAGCAGAGACGAAAGUCGGGCUUAGUGAUCCGGUGGUACUGAGUGGAAAGGCCAUCGCUCAACGGAUAAAAGCUACCCUGGGGAUAACAGGCUAAUCUCUCCCAAGAGUUCAUAUCGACGGGGAGGUUUGGCACCUCGAUGUCGGCUCAUCACAUCCUGGAGCUGGAGUAGGUUCCAAGGGUUGGGCUGUUCGCCCAUUAAAGUGGUACGCGAGCUGGGUUCAAAACGUCGUGAGACAGUUUGGUUCAUAUCCAUCGCGGGCGCAAGAAGUUUGAGGGAGGCUGCUCCUAGUACGAGAGGACCGGAGUGGACGGAUCAACGGUGUACCAGUUGUCACGCCAGUGGCACGGCUGGAAAGCCGCAUCCGGAAAGGAUAAACGCUGAAAGCAUCUAAGCGUGAAGCCCGUCCCGAGAUGAGACUUCU
rnacentral:rRNA from 1 species